rnacentral:lncRNA from 1 species
AUGACAUCAAGGUUUGAAGCCGACUCGGCCAGACUGCGGGGCGAGGAUCCGCGGGAAGCUGGCUUCGCAGUUCCUUCUCGUGGCGGAAGGCUGGGGUUCGGAUGUGGGAAAAGGAACAGCGCCCCUCACCCUUACGUGACGCCUCCCCUUCCAUCUCCGGCUUCUGCAAUAUUAAAUGAAACCAAGAGAGAUAAUAAUGGCACUACAGCUACAGAAGACUCACCUCCUGCCAAGAAAACUCAUAAAUACCAGAGACAGAGAGUAAAAAAGGAGCCUGUGGCUGGAGGAAAGGCUGAUAAGGGCAGGACAGAAGACACGCAAGGCAGUAAGCCAGAGAGGACAUGAGCGGGCAAAAGGGUCUUGGGAAGGGUGGUAGUGAUAUCUUGUUCUUUCAGCUCUCAUUUCUUCCUUCCUUGAAUAUAUAAUCAAUUAAUUUUCUGUGCUUUGUAUGUACCUCAGUACUAAUCCGCUU